UACGUAGGGUGCAAGCGUUGUCCGGAAUUAUUGGGCGUAAAGAGCUCGUAGGCGGUUUGUCGCGUCGAAUGUGAAAACCCGGGGCUCGAACCCCGGGCCUGCAUUCGAUACGGGCAGACUAGAGUUCGGUAGGGGAGUCUGGAAUUCCUGGUGGUAGCGGUGAAAUGCGCAGAUAUCAGGAGGAACACCGGUGGCGAAGGCGGGACUCUGGGCCG
rnacentral:rRNA from 1 species